CCUACGGGAGGCAGCAGUAGGGAAUAUUGCUCAAUGGGGGAAACCCUGAAGCAGCAACGCCGCGUGGAGGAUGAAGGUUUUCGGAUUGUAAACUCCUUUUGUUAGAGAAGAUAAUGACGGUAUCUAACCAAUAAGCACCGUCUAACUCCGUGCCGGCAGCCGCGGUAAUACGGAGGGUGCAAGCGUUACGCGGAAUAACUGGGCGUAAAGCGCGCGUAGGCGGGAUAGCAAGUCAGAUGUGAAAUCCUAUGGCUUAACCAUAGAACUGCAUUUGAAACUGUUAGUCUAGAGUAUGGGGGAGGUAGGUGGAAUUCGUGGUGUAGGGGUAAAAUGCGUAGAGAUCAAGAGGAAUACUCAUUGCGAAGGCGACCUGCUAGAACAUAACUGACGCUGAUGCGCGAAAGCGUGGGGAGCAAACAGGAUUAGAUACCCGUGUAGUC
rnacentral:rRNA from 1 species